CAUUCAAGUAGCACUUUCCAUGCAUCUGCUAAAAUGAUUGUUUUCCCCCUUUAUUCUAUUAAUUCUGAAAAUUAUAUCGAUUGAUUCUCAGAUAUUAAAAAAGCAACUUUGCAUUCCCAAGAUAAGCCCCACAGGUCAUGAUGCAUUGUCCCUUUAAAUGUUGUUGAGUUUCAUUUACUAAAAUUUUGUUCAUGACUCUUAUGUCUAUUUUAUGAGAGAUAUUGGUCUGUAACUCUCUUUUCUUUUGAAGUCUUUCACUGGUUUUGAUAGCAGAGUAAAUCUGGUCUCAUAAAAUGAAUUCAGAAGUAUUUUUGCAAUGCUCAUUUUAUGCCUUGCAGAACGUUAAGAAACAUUAUGUAUAAGGUGUAACAUGACAGGUGUGAUUCAAAUAUAUGUCUCAAAUAUAAAACAAUCAGUUUUUAUCUUGUUCUUUCUUUUCCUAAUUUCCAUAAUAAACAUGUUCUAUUCCUCUUCACAUCUAGUUUGAAGUUGGCCUUAUUAGUGAGUGAUUUAUAAUCACAUAUUUUAGAAAAUUAGAGCUAAGUUAUUUUAGGGACUGCUGUCACUGCAUAUCUAGAAGAGGAAACUGAGACCUUUAGAGGUUGCCACGCUCUUCCAGAACAGAGUACCUUCCCACUCUUUACAGGUCCCCAUCAUGUAACACUCAUUAAAAGUCUUUAUGGGUAGGAAAUGUAUAAAGUACCUGGUGUGUAUCUACUUACAUUAUAAAGUUUACGUGUUCAUUGUUACACUUUUUCCUUCCUAUGAAGGCACACACUGUUCUUACUCUUACAAUCUCCAAGAGAGAGCAGAGAAACAAUGAACCUUCAGGAGUGUGUGGCCUGGGGGCUGCUAGUUGAACUGGGCAUGCUCAGUCGCCAGGCAGAUUUUUCGGUGAAGUGGAAACUACAACAGCGCGUACCGCGCGCGGAGGUGGGCGUGCCCUCGUGGAAUUUAGAACGUUGCCUCGGCCAAUGGGGCCUCGCGGCCGGGUGGCGGGGCUCCUCAUUGGAGCAGCAGGGAGGCGAGCAGAGGGCCCCCGGAGGGAGCCGCGGAGGUGCAGGUCGAAGAGGCCGGGCUACGCCGUGCCCUGCGUGUGAGCAGCUGCAGCAGCAGAGGCAGCAUCCAGCGGCAGCGCCAGCAGUUCCAGCCGGUUGCUUUACUUUUUGCUUCACCGACAUAGUCAUUAUGCCGAAGAGAAAGUCUCCAGAGAAUGCGGAGGGCAAAGAUGGAUCCAAAGUAACUAAACAGGAGCCCACAAGACGGUCUGCCAGAUUGUCAGCGAAACCUGCUCCACCAAAACCUGAACCCAAACCAAGAAAAACAUCUGUUAAGAAAGAACCUGGAGCAAAGAUUAGCAGAGGUGCUAAAGGGAAGAAGGAGGAAAAGCAGGAAGCUGGAAAGGAAGGUACUGCACCAUCUGAAAAUGGUGAAACUAAAGCUGAAGAGGUACUUUCCAUAAAUACCUCCCACUGAUUGAAUCAGUGUCUUUAAAGAAAUUUCUCAAUCCUUCAGCCGGUGAUAGCUCGUUCUUAAUGUCUCUUUUUAUUGCCUGUAAUGUUAUUGCAGAUUCACAUCUCUCGCUCAACUGUUAAUGUCUCAACCUCCAGAGGCACAGAAAACUGAAUCUGUAGAUAACAAGGGAGAAUGAAUUGUCAUGAAAAAUUGGGGUUGAUUUUAUGUAUCUCUUGGGACAACUUUUAAAAGCUAUUUUUACCAAGUAUUUUGUAAAUGCUAAUUUUUUAGGACUCUACUAGUUGACAUACAAAAAUAUAUAAGGAUGGACAGUUUACACUCUCAUAGUCAUGCUUUUUGGAAAUUUACAUCAUCCUCAAGUAAAAUAAAUACCAGUUUAAUAUUGGAAGCUGUGUGUAAGAUUGAUUCAGCAUUCCAUGCACUUGCUUUAAAACUUAGUCCUGUGCAUACUGUAGUGUUUUUACUGUGCAUAUUUGAAAUUUUCAUGCAGUUUUUCUAGAGCAAUAAUCAGUGGUGCUUUUGUACCUAGGUUUUAUGUGAUUUUAAUGAAACAUGGAUAGUUGUGGCCACCUGCUGACUAUUUGUGGUUUAAAAUAAAAGGUUUUCUUGUCUGCAAAA